AUGAUCUGGAGGAGGGCGAAGUAAAGGACCCCAGUGACAGGAAGGUGAGGCCUCGUCCCACCUGCCGAUUCUUCAUGAAAGAUGUGACAGCCUUAUCCACUCCUCUUCCACCAAUAUCACAUUCCAUACCAUUCAGAGGCCAGGUUCAAGUUGUGUGGCCGUCACCACAAUCCAGCUGUAGAGCACGUCCAUCGCCCGAGGAAGACCCCAUAGUGCUGGUCUUUCCCACAUUCAGCCUGACGAGAUGCGAGCGCUCCCAGAGCCCCUCAGCUGGGAGGUGCCACACAGGAAGGUGCCAGCCGCAUCUCCAGGGAGGGCACGCGAGGCUUGCGCCGUGAGCGGGGACUGCUGCAGGACACAGGGCGCAGUCUCCUCCGAAACAAAGUGAGCCCACCACCUCCAGGAGAACAGCUGACAGUAUCUGUUGCUAAUGAUGACUUUGGGCUCUCACGUGAAAGUCAGAAUUUUGGAGGGCCUGAAUCUCCACCUGCGGUGCUUAAUGACUUUUCCAGAUGACUGUUGCAUGGUGUCCCAGAAUCACACCUGCGUAGAAAGUCCACUCGCAGUUUGAGGCGGAGCAGUGCGCAUCUGUGGAACAGUCAGAAAUGUUCAGCGCGAGGGUUACAGACCCCACCGGCAACAAACGGCCGAGAAGGCUUGCUUGACAAGGUUCAAGUGGCCUCAGGGACACGCGAGAGUCGCUGAGGCUGGCUUUCCUUCACCUACUUCAGCACAAACGAGCUGUCCUGGCAAACUGAAUGCAGAAGCCGACAAGAGAGAGCCGCUGUCUUCUGUGUUCCUGUCAGCUUGAAAGAGGUUUGCAAAAAGGAGAGAAUUCUGCUCGUGUCAUUAAGUAUUUUUAAAAGUUACUUUUCAUGAAACACUUAUGCUAAUGUAUUGUUACCGUAAGUUACACAUAGCAUAUACUAUGUCUUUAAAUUUUUUCAGUCUUAAUUUCUAUAGUGAAUACCAAUAGAUCCGACCAUUUGUGAUGCUUUGGGCUCCUAAGAUCUAGAAGUUAAAGAACUUCUGGUUUCAAGUCAACAUUGUUUACAAAGCAGCAGCCCAGAUAUUAUUUUAAUUAUUUCAGCUAGACAGUGAAGGUAUUCGUUAGAGAAAUUAAAAUAUCUCAGAUACCCUGAGAGGUGACUGGUUGUCAGUGAAAUGGGAAAGGAAAGUACUCCUGAGUUGUUUGUGUUCUGUUGUUAAAAACUUGCACGUGAUGGACGUGGGACUUGAUACCCAUUAGGAUACAUGUUUAUAGAUUCUCAGUUUGUCCUUAAUAUUGAAUGGUUCCAUUUUUACAUAUCCUGCCUUCCUUCCACUGGUAAUUUCUUAAAACCAUGAAGCACUCUAAACCUCCCGAUUUUUACAAUCCCUGUAUUUAUUUUCUAUUCUGAGUUACUCAGACUAACAGGAAAUGGGACCGCCGUGUCUUACUUAGAAAUAAUGUGGUAGCGGGACGCCUCGCGGACACGGCGAGGACAGCCCAUAGACGAAGCGGGCGCCGCGCCGUACUGACAGC